UACGAAGGUGGCAAGCGUUGUUCGGAUUUACUGGGCGUACAGGGAGCGUAGGCGGUUGGAUAAGCCCUCCGUGAAAUCUCCAGGCUUAACCUGGAAAGUGCAGAGGGGACUGUUCAGCUAGAGGAUGGGAGAGGAGCGCGGAAUUCCCGGUGUAGCGGUGAAAUGCGUAGAGAUCGGGAGGAAGGCCGGUGGCGAAGGCGGCGCACUGGACCACUUCUGACGCUGAGGCGCGAAAGCUAGGGGAGCAACAGG
rnacentral:rRNA from 1 species